AUUGAACGCUGGCGGCAGGCUUAACACAUGCAAGUCGAGCGGGGUGAUGGUGCUUGCACUAUCACUUAGCGGCAGACGGGUGAGUAAUGCUUAGGAAUCUGCCUAUUAGUGGGGGACAACAUCUCGAAAGGGAUGCUAAUACCGCAUACGUCCUACGAGAGAAAGCAGGGGAUCACUUGUGACCUUGCGCUAAUAGAUGAGCCUAAGUCGGAUUAGCUAGUUGGUGGGGUAAAGGCCUACCAAGGCGACGAUCUGUAGCGGGUCUGAGAGGAUGAUCCGCCACACUGGGACUGAGACACGGCCCAGACUCCUACGGGAGGCAGCAGUGGGGAAUAUAGGACAAUGGGGGGAACCCUGAUCCAGCCAUGCCGCGUGUGUGAAGAAGGCCUUAUGGUUGUAAAGCACUUUAAGCGAGGAGGAGGCUCUUUUGGUUAAUACCCAAGAUGAGUGGACGUUACUCGCAGAAUAAGCACCGGCUAACUCUGUGCCAGCCGCCGCGGUAA
rnacentral:rRNA from 1 species